rnacentral:rRNA from 1 species
CCUGAAACCGUGUGCUUACAAGUAGUCAGAGCCCGUUAAUGGGUGAUGGCGUGCCUUUUGUAGAAUGAACCGGCGAGUUACGAUUUGAUGCAAGGUUAAGCAGUAAAUGUGGAGCCGUAGCGAAAGCGAGUCUGAAUAGGGCGUUUAGUAUUUGGUCGUAGACCCGAAACCAGGUGAUCUACCCUUGGUCAGGUUGAAGUUCAGGUAACACUGAAUGGAGGACCGAACCGACUUACGUUGAAAAGUGAGCGGAUGAACUGAGGGUAGCGGAGAAAUUCCAAUCGAACCUGGAGAUAGCUGGUUCUCUCCGAAAUAGCUUUAGGGCUAGCCUCAAGUGAUGAUUAUUGGAGGUAGAGCACUGUUUGGACGAGGGGCCCCUCUCGGGUUACCGAAUUCAGACAAACUCCGAAUGCCAAUUAAUUUAACUUGGGAGUCAGAACAUGGGUGAUAAGGUCCGUGUUCGAAAGGGAAACAGCCCAGACCACCAGCUAAGGUCCCAAAAUAUAUGUUAAGUGGAAAAGGAUGUGGCGUUGCCCAGACAACUAGGAUGUUGGCUUAGAAGCAGCCAUCAUUUAAAGAGUGCGUAAUAGCUCACUAGUCGAGUGACACUGCGCCGAAAAUGUACCGGGGCUAAACAUAUUACCGAAGCUGUGGAUUGUCCUUUGGACAAUGGUAGGAGAGCGUUCUAAGGGCGUUGA